AUUGAACGCUGGCGGCAGGCCUAACACAUGCAAGUCGAGCGGAUGAUGGGAGCUUGCUCCUUGAUACAGCGGCGGACGGGUGAGUAAUGCCUAGGAAUCUGCCUGGUAGUGGGGGAUAACGUUCCGAAAGGAACGCUAAUACCGCAUACGUCCUACGGGAGAAAGCAGGGGACCUUCGGGCCUUGCGCUAUCAGAUGAGCCUAGGUCGGAUUAGCUAGUUGGUGAGGUAAUGGCUCACCAAGGCGACGAUCCGUAACUGGUCUUAGAGGAUGAUCAGUCACACUGGAACUGAGACACUGUCCAGACUCCUACGGGAGGCAGCAGUGGGGAAUAUUGGACAAUGGGCGAAAGCCUGAUCCAGCCAUGCCGCGUGUGUGAAGAAGGUCUUCGGAUUGUAAAGCACUUUAAGUUGGGAGGAAGGGCAGUAAGUUAAUACCUUGCUGUUUUGACGUUACCAACAGAAUAAGCACCGGCUAACUUCGUGCCAGCCGCCGCGGUAACAC
rnacentral:rRNA from 1 species